rnacentral:rRNA from 1 species
GACGAACGCUGGCGGCGUGCUAACUACAUGCAGUCGAACGCUUUUGUUUUCACCGGAGCUUGCUCCACCGAAAACAAAAGAGUGGCGGACGGGUGAGUAACACGUGGGUAACCUGCCCUCAAGCGGGGGAUAACACUUGGAAACAGGUGCUAAUACCGCAUAACAAUCAGAAUCGCAUGAUUUUGAUUUGAAAGGCGCUUUUGCGUCACUUGAGGAUGGACCCGCGGUGCAUUAGCUAGUUGGUGAGGUAACGGCUCACCAAGGCCACGAUGCAUAGCCGACCUGAGAGGGUGAUCGGCCACACUGGGACUGAGACACGGCCCAGACUCCUACGGGAGGCAGCAGUAGGGAAUCUUCGGCAAUGGACGAAAGUCUGACCGAGCAACGCCGCGUGAGUGAAGAAGGUUUUCGGAUCGUAAAACUCUGUUGUUAGAAAAGAACAAGGGUGAGAGUGGAAAGUUCACCCCUUGACGGUAUCUAACCAGAAAGCCACGGCUAACUACGUGCCAGCAGCCGCGGUAAUACGUAGGUGGCAAGCGUUGUCCGGAUUUAUUGGGCGUAAAGCGAGCGCAGGCGGUUCUUUAAGUCUGAUGUGAAAGU